rnacentral:lncRNA from 1 species
CUGAUCUCUUCCCCCAUUUAUCUGGGGCUUUGCUUGAUUGUGAAGGACUGCCUGCCCUAUAAAACAGGCAGAAGAACACUCAUUGGUUUGAAAGCUUUGGCUUUGUAUCAGGGAGCAGCAGCCUCUGGGGCUUUAGCAAGAAAUGGUGCAAAAGGUGUCCCCAGACAGACCAGUCUUGGCAAAGAGGAAGGAUUCCUCAUGCCCUGAAAGAGAAAGGGGUGGUGGGAAGGAGUCCUGCCCACUGUGGCUAGUUGGAGCAGAGGAGCUGAGACAACCCAGGUUCUGGAGCCUCAGUCUUUCCAGGGAAGCAGGAGUUGGGAAAAGGGGUGGCAAAGGGCAGUGAGGAGGAGACGUGAUCACCACAGCUGUGAUUUUAGGAGUGGUGGAGAGGAAAGAGAUGAGAAAUCCACUAGCGCUAAAGGCCAUGCCAUUAGACAAGCAUGCGUGUUCCUAAAUAAAAGCUGGCACCAUGUACUUUUCUCCCCUUGUGGAGGUGGGCUUGGGCACAAGACAGGCUAUUGGCAGGCUCAGUUUGGUUUGGUUGAACUGAUUUUUGUCUUUAUUUUCAUCUUCCUGACAAGUGGGGCUCACCAGGUAGCAGAGGGGGAAAUAAAAGCGAUGGCGGUGGGGAGGAGUAGGAGGAGAAAGAUGAUGGAGCUCCAAAAGGAAGAUGGGUUUCUUUCUCUGGGGAAAUGGCAGCCUUCCCCCACCCACGUGGAAACUCCUGCAUACCUUUCCAUCAGGACCAAAGAAUACAAAUCAGGGCUCCAGUUUUUGUGUUUCUUUGUUUUUAAUGAGUCUGCACAUUGCGUCUUUGGACAAACUGUUGGGAAUGACGUCCGAUCUUUGCUCCCUGCCAUCUACCAUCACUCUGAAUCUACAUUGCUGGCAGAGAUUCUGAAUACCAGAUUUUGGCUUCUCUCCUCCCAAACCUUGAUCUAAUAUGACAGUGACUUGUAAACAAAUGUUUAUGCAUGUGGGGGGAGGUAGAGAGAGAGCUGGCAUUUAAUGAGCAUCUGCCAGGCACUGUGCCAAGCACUUUAC